GAUGCAAGCAAGUAGAAAAGCAUAUUUACAGUCAUCAAACUCUACGGAGAAGCCAUAGUCUUAAAAAAAAGAUUCAUGCAAGUUAGAAAAUGGAAAGAAAGAAGAACCCAAUGAUGACAUAUAGAUUUUUUUUAACCAUUUGGCCCCUUGGAGGUCUUUGGCAUGCUUGUUUGAAUCCCAACAUCAUCCCCAUCCAAAUGCUGAGGCUUGCUAUUAUUCCUUUGGACUUUCCUCUUACCCAUGUUUCCAGUAACAUCAUCAGUAAAUUUGCGCUUCAUGACCCCUGCCUCAUUAAAUGAACAUAUACCUUCUGUUAAGCUACCAACAGGAGAAGAAAAGCUAUUCACUUCCCCAUAAGCCUGCAAUUCAUCAUUCUUGACAUCACCAGCACUACAUCCACCAGAUGGAGCAUCAGGAUGUCCUUCAUUUUGUCCAGCUAACCCCUUCUCGUUACAAGAAUCUUUUCCGCGUUCCUUGCUCAUUUGGGGAGAUUUGUCAACUAUACCUUUAAGAGAUAACUUUAAGGAUUGUUUAUGUUUAUUUUUCACUGGAGGAGCAUUAUUUUCAUCCUCUGAGAAGGAUGAAAUUGAAAAUAUUUCAUCAUCAACAGGCAACCCAGCUCCUGCCCUCAAACUUGCAAUUAAAUC
rnacentral:misc_RNA from 1 species